CUACGGGAGGCAGCAGUGGGGAAUCUUGCACAAUGGGGGAAACCCUGAUGCAGCGACGCCGCGUGAGCGAUGAAGCCCUUCGGGGUGUAAAGCUCUUUCGGCAGGAACGAUUAUGACGGUACCUGCAGAAGAAGCUGCGGCUAACUACGUGCCAGCAGCCGCGGUAAUACGUAGGCAGCAAGCGUUGUUCGGAGUUACUGGGCGUAAAGAGUGUGUAGGCGGUCCUUUAAGUUCGGUGUGAAAUCUCCCGGCUCAACUGGGAGGGUGCGCCGGAAACUGGAGGGCUUGAGUGUGGGAGAGGAAAGCGGAAUUCCUGGUGUAGCGGUGAAAUGCGUAGAUAUCAGGAGGAACACCUGUGGUGUAGACAGCUUUCUGGACCACGACUGACGCUGAGACACGAAAGCGUGGGUAGCAAACAGGAUUAGAUACCCUGGU
rnacentral:rRNA from 1 species